AGUGGACGCUGGCGGUAGGCCUAACACAUGCAAGUCGAACGGCAGCACAGUAAGAGCUUGCUCUUACGGGUGGCGAGUGGCGGACGGGUGAGGAAUACAUCGGAAUCUACUUUUUCGUGGGGGAUAACGUAGGGAAACUUACGCUAAUACCGCAUACGACCUACGGGUGAAAGCAGGGGAUCUUCGGACCUUGCGCGAUUGAAUGAGCCGAUGUCGGAUUAGCUAGUUGGCGGGGUAAAGGCCCACCAGGGCGACGAUCCGUAGCUGGUCUGAGAGGAUGAUCAGCCACACUGGAACUGAGACACGGUCCAGACUCCUACGGGAGGCAGCAGUGGGGAAUAUUGGACAAUGGGCGCAAGCCUGAUCCAGCCAUACCGCGUGGGUGAAGAAGGCCUUCGGGUUGUAAAGCCCUUUUGUUGGGAAAGAAAAGCAGCAGGUUAAUACCCCGCUGUUCUGACGGUACCCAAAGAAUAAGCACCGGCUAACUUCGUG
rnacentral:rRNA from 1 species